UACGUAUGGUGCAAGCGUUAUCCGGAUUUACUGGGUGUAAAGGGAGCGCAGGCGGCACGGCAAGCCUGAUGUGAAAGCCCGCGGCCCAACCGCGGGACUGCAUUGGGAACUACCGGGCUUGAGUGCCGGAGAGGUAGGCGGAAUUCCUAGUGUAGCGGUGAAAUGCGUAGAUAUUAGGAGGAACACCAGUGGCGAAGGCGGCCUACUGGACGGUGACUGACGCUGAGGCUCGAAAGCGUGGGGAGCAAACAGG
rnacentral:rRNA from 1 species